rnacentral:lncRNA from 1 species
CUUUUCCCCGUCCCUUUGGUUCUGCCGCUCGCAGCCGGAUCUUGGCGGCGUCUCUUGGGCAGGAAAUCUCCCUUGCCUUCCCAAGGGGGACACGCUUCCAAAGAAGUGAGCGCGGGCCAUAGGAUGGGCGCGUAGGCAUUCCGCCACCGGGAAGGGCGGCUGAGUAUCGGCGGGAUGCCGUCCCUGGAGCCCGUUCGGCUGCCGGAGAACGAGGGGUGGACCAUUUCAGGAUUCUAGAGGCAGAACCGGUGCGAGAUACUCCGGGUAUAAGGUUCAAGCGAAAUUGCCCUUACCCAGAGAGUCCCUGCUUGAAAUCCUCUCCCCCCCCCCAAGGCUUAGUUUCGUAUGUGCCUUGUAGGCGUCUGUCAUUAUUGCAGGUGUAAAAAAAAGCCUCGCGGGAAUAUGUGGACCGACCUCCGUAAACUACCUGUGCGUGUGAGUGUUUCCUUCUAAGUGGUUCCCUCUGAGUGAUGCAGAGGACAUUGGACACCUGGGUGUUUGUAUAUAUUUAUUUCAGCAACUGAGAUGAAAAUCAGUCUAAUGCAACUCAGUCUGUGUGACUGAAAUGUUAGGAAUCCAUGAUCUUAUAGGGAAAAUACAUCUGUGAAGACACUUCUUCCACCCUUGCUCCAGUGCACUGAUGGGCCGGGAGACCGAUUGCUAAGUAUUGUGUGGCUCCUGCUUCUGUUUUGCUUGCUGCUGUUUGGUUUCCUGCAGCCCACUAUCCCACUUUGCUUAUUUUUCUGCAUUACCACCAAAACAAACAGCCUCUAUAAUUAAUUCUGGAGCUGGAAAAGGUACAGUUUGCUUUUCAUUUCUGCCUAGUCCCUCUUCCCCACUUUGCUUUACUGUUGUGCAUGAGUGAUCAAACAGCACAUAAUUUGGAAAGCCCAAGGACAGCAGAGAGGUUGGUUUUUGCACUUCAGUCUCACCAGGAGUCAUAGCCAAAAGGAAGAAAACAAAAUAACUAAAACUGCAAACUGCACAUGUACAGUCACCCCUGUAAUAUCUGGAAAUCAAAAUGUAAGAAUGGCAGAUUUCUUAGUGCUGCUCCACAAACAGUGGCAAGUAAUUUGAAAAUAUGAGAGACAUUCAGAUUGGGGGGGGGGAAGAGAAUUUGAAAUAUCUCUCAUGUUCCUGUUGUAACGUACUUGGAAAGCCUCUAAAUUGGAG